UUUUAGCCCCGAUUGUAACGGAAAUCCUUUUUAAUUUUUCUUUAAAAUUANAAAAAUUGUAGUGGAAAGCGGGAAAUAGC
rnacentral:sRNA from 12 species